GAUGAAGAACGCAGCGAAAUGCGAUAAGUAGUGUGAAUUGCAGAAUUCAGUGAAUCAUCGAAUCUUUGAACGCACAUUGCGCCCUUUGGUAUUCCAAAGGGCAUGCCUGUUCGAGCGUCAUUUGUACCCUCAAGCUUUGCUUGGUGUUGGGCGUCUUGUCUCUAGCUUUGCUGGAGACUCGCCUUAAAGUAAUUGGCAGCCGGCCUACUGGUUUCGGAGCGCAGCACAAGUCGCACUCUCUAUCAGCAAAGGUCUAGCAUCCAUUAAGCCUUUUUUUCAACUUUUGACCUCGGAUCAGGUAUGGAUACCCGCUGAACUUAAGCAUAUCAAUAAGCGGAGGA
rnacentral:misc_RNA from 1 species